rnacentral:misc_RNA from 1 species
AAACUCAUAUUAUCUGGACCGUGCGCGUGGCGCUCUCUCCCCCCUCCUCCUCACAGAGGCACAAGACGCUCACAACUUUGCCAUGUUACACCGCUUGCUCUGCAGUCCAACAGUCAAUUCCUCGUUUGCUCGCCUCUUUCGUUUAUUUUUUUUUCACCUCCUUCCCCAGCGGUUGGCAUCUUGGCACGCAGUGAUGCGCUCUCGUGAUUGCACGGUUGACCGCGAGGCGGCGGUGCAGAAGCGCAAGAAGGACCACAUCGACAUUUGCUUGCAUAAGGACGUCGAGCCGCACAAGAGGCGCACCUCCAUCUGGAACAAGUACACGCUACCCUACAAGGCACUUCCCGAAGUUGAUCUGCAGAAAAUCGACACGUCCUGCGAGUUUAUGGGCAAGCGCAUAUCCUUUCCCUUCUUCAUUUCCUCCAUGACCGGCGGUGAGGCGCACGGCCGCGUCAUCAACGAGAACCUGGCAAAGGCGUGCGAGGCCGAGAAGAUCCCGUUCGGGCUUGGUAGCAUGCGCAUCAUCAACCGCUAUGCGUCGGCGGUGCACACCUUUAACGUGAAGGAGUUCUGUCCUUCGGUUCCGAUGCUAGCCAAUAUCGGCCUGGUGCAGCUGAACUACGGUUUUGGCCCAAAGGAGGUAAACAACCUCGUGGACUCGGUGCGCGCCGACGGUCUGUGCAUCCACCUGAACCAUACGCAAGAAGUUUGCCAGCCGGAGGGCGACACAAACUUCGAGGGCCUGAUUGAGAAGCUGCGCCAGCUGUUGCCGCUCAUCAAGGUACCGGUACUCGUGAAAGGUGUCGGUCACGGCAUUGAUUACGAAUCGAUGGUGGCCAUCAAGGCCAGCGGCGUCAAGUACGUGGACGUUUCAGGAUGCGGCGGCACGUCAUGGGCCUGGAUCGAGGGUCGCCGGCAGCCAUACAAGGUGGAGGAAGAGAACAUUGGUUACCUCUUUCGCGACAUUGGUGUGCCUACCGAUGUCUGCCUGCGUGAGAGCGCGCCGCUGACCGUCAACGGCGACCUCCACCUCAUCGCCGGCGGCGGUAUCCGCAACGGCAUGGACGUCGCCAAGGCCCUCAUGAUGGGUGCCGAGUACGCCACGGCGGCGAUGCCGUUUCUUGCGGCUGCCCUGGAAAGCUCAGAGGCGGUCCGUGCAGUGAUUCAGCGUAUGCGCCAGGAGCUGCGUGUCUCCAUGUUUACCUGCGGUGCCCGCAAUAUUGGGGACCUUCGGCGCAUGAAGGUGAUUGAGCUCGGUCACCUUUAGCCCUUUUCGUCGCUCUUUUGUGUGUGCGUGCGUCUUCAGCGCAGCCCCUCGUCUCACGCUCUCAUCGUCGUCCCCUCUUCCUCCUCCUCUCCAUUCCCUCGAUGCCCCUUUUUUUUUCGUUCAUACGUAUAGGCGACUGCUCAGGGCAUCUAGAGACAAAACGGAAAAAAGAUUUGAAAGCUGGCUGAAAUGAACUAACGCUAAGAAAAACUCUCUCUCUCUCCGUUCCGCGGGUGCACACCUGCGGUGUGAAAGAAUGAGAGCUCGUGCUGUUGCACUACUCAGUACAGCCUCGGGGUUAUCAUCCGAUAUCGUCCUCUCGCCGCCCAACGCCACGGGCCAGCGAUGACCUCUGGUGAAGGUCACGCACGUACGUAGCGCUGUCUUUUUUUUUUUCAAUGUGUUUUGUUUUUCGAAAGGCGACAGCGAAAAGGUGAUCGUGACCCUAACACAUCAACUCG